CCGGGCCGACCACUCGAUGGUUGAGUUUCUGCUACUGGUAUGCAUUUUUGUUAGUUACUUUGGAUUCUUGUUGUUUUUACGGCUUUUUUUUUCAGGAUUUUCUCAUUGUUUUGUUCAUACAGUUUGUCAAGGUCACCCAGCUCCUCCCUCCCUCCUGCUUUUUGGGAUCCCACACCACCACGCUCAUGACACAAACAGCCGCCUCUUCCUACGCAAGUCCUGCGCUUGGCUAGAAGUGAAGAAAGACAGAACGAAAUGUCGAAACAACGCUGUGCUUCUCGUGACGUCUUUCCUUUCCUGCCUCUUAAACACCUGACUGACUUUUUUUUUCUAUUUUUUUUCGAAAAAUAAAUACACUGCCCUCCUUGA